ACACAUGCAAGUCGAACGAUGAAGCCCUGCUUGCAGGGUGGAUUAGUGGCGAACGGGUGAGUAACACGUGAGUAACCUGCCCCCGACUCUGGGAUAAGCCCGGGAAACUGGGUCUAAUACCGGAUAUGACUUCCUACUGCAUGGUGGGUUGUUGAAAGAUUUAUCGGUGGGGGAUGGACUCGCGGCCUAUCAGCUUGUUGGUGAGGUAAUGGCUCACCAAGGCGACGACGGGUAGCCGGCCUGAGAGGGUGACCGGCCACACUGGGACUGAGACACGGCCCAGACUCCUACGGGAGGCAGCAGUGGGGAAUAUUGCACAAUGGGCGGAAGCCUGAUGCAGCGACGCCGCGUGAGGGAUGACGGCCUUCGGGUUGUAAACCUCUUUCAGUAGGGAAGAAGCGAAAGUGACGGUACCUGCAGAAGAAGCGCCGGCUAACUACGUGCCAGCAGCCGCGGUAAUACGUAGGGCGCAAGCGUUAUCCGGAUUUAUUGGGCGUAAAGAGCUCGUAGGCGGUUUGUCGCGUCUGCCGUGAAAGUCCGAGGCUCAACCUCGGAUCUGCGGUGGGUACGGGCAGACUAGAGUGAUGUAGGGGAGACUGGAAUUCCUGGUGUAGCGGUGAAAUGCGCAGAUAUCAGGAGGAACACCGAUGGCGAAGGCAGGUCUCUGGGCAUUUACUGACGCUGAGGAGCGAAAGCAUGGGGAGCGAACAGGAUUAGAUACCCUGGUAGUCCAUGCCGUAAACGUUGGGCACUAGGUGUGG
rnacentral:rRNA from 2 species